CCUACGGGCGGCAGCAGUGAGGAAUUUUGGUCAAUGGGCGCGAGCCUGAACCAGCCAAGUCGCGUGAAGGAUGACUGCCCUACGGGUUGUAACCUUCUUUUAUGAAGGAAUAAAGUGAGGCACGUGUGCCUUUUUGUAUGUACUUUAUGAAUAAGGAUAGGCUAACUCCGUUCCAGCAGCCACGGUAAUACGGAGGAUCCGAGCGUUAGCCGGAUUUGUUGUGUUUAAAGGGAGCGUAGAUGGGUUGUUAAGUCAGUUGUGAAAGUUUGCGGCUCAACUGUAAAAGUGCAAUUGAUACUGGAAGCCUUGAGUACAGUUGAGGUAGGCGGAAUUCGUGGUGUAGCGGUGAAAUGCUUAGAUAUCACGAAGAACUCCGAUUGCGAAGGCAGCUUACUAAAAUGCCACUGACAUUGAUGCUCGAAAGUGUGGGUAUCAAACAGGAUUAGAUACCCUUGUAGUC
rnacentral:rRNA from 1 species